GUAUAUCACAAUUUUAAGUUGUGCUUUUUCAGAUGGGAAAUCUAAAGGUGCAAAAACUUUUUUAUGGGUUACAUAAGUAAUAAUUAUAGGAUCUGAAUCUGUCACCUAAAUCUUUAACAAAGUUUUAUGUUCAUUCUUCUAUGCUGCACUAUCUUCUUUUGCUUAUAGAAGUGAAUAUGACCAUAUGCACUACACAUUUAUCAUUAUCUCACCAGUAUUUUAUGUCUUUGGACUGUAUCUGACAUUAUAGGAAGCAUUCAACACUAUUGCAUCAACAAAUAUUGAAUGUAAAAAAAUCUUUUGACAGUAACAUCUGAUAUCGUUUGGCCUCUUUUUCUUUAUUUUCUGGAAAAGGUACCAUAGGUAAAGCUGCUUAUUCUCUGAGCUUCAUGAUAUUUCCAAAACUGCCAUGUACUUUGAAUUAUGAAUCAACUAAUAACAAUAUUUAAAGGACUUCUGGGCCAAAAGGACUGUUUAAGUGCUAAGUUAUAUGCUUAGGGUAAAAAAGCAUUAUAAAUAUUAAUAUUUAAUAAUCUUUAUAUAUAACAUUUUUGGAGGUCUUUUGAAUUUUAUUUCUUUGUCCUUUAUUUCUUUGUUUUCUUUGUUGACCUACUUUCACCUUCCCUCCUUUUUCUAGUUUAGUGAGCUGUUCUCUGGAAGCUAUAUUCUUUCUUCUGCCAAAACUUCAAAUCUAAUUUUGGAACAACUUCUGUAGGUAAUUUAAGUACAGAAGGUAGAUUGAGUGCUCAUUUUGCUUUUGAUUUAUAUAUGACAUCUGUUUGGAACCAAACCUUUUCUUUUUUCAGAAACAAAACAAGAAUUUUUUUGGUAUAUGUAGGGCAAAGGAAAAUUAUCUGAGAAAUAAAUUCUUUUGUUUCUAAAAGAAAAGUCAGCACAGCUUAUAAGAGUGUAUUUGAUCAAGACCAAAAGAGUCCAGAAAGAAAGCAUAACAUACAGUUGGCUUUCAAGAAAAAGCUUACUGAGUGAUGAGUGAAGGAAAAUAUGUGCCCAUAUUUUUAUGGCCUACAUAGAAAGUAGGAUGUAACUUUCUCUUUUCUGACCCACUACUGAAGAAGAGAGAGAGUUGCUGUUUUCAGAGCUUGUUCUAGAAUCCCACUUAAUAAGUGCCUCACUCU
rnacentral:lncRNA from 1 species